GGUUUUUCUUAAGUUUUACAUAUAGAUUUUUAAAAAAAUGUUAUGUUUUCUUAGUGAGAGGGUAGAAGUGUCCUUCGAUGAUGGCUGGCAGAAGUAUGGUAGUGGAAGAUCGUUCAGCAGUUUAUCAGCUCAUGCAUGUAUGAUUGGUAACAAAACUGGCAAUAGCUGUAAGAAACAAAAGCCGUCAAGUUUGCGAACAUGCUGCAUUGUCCAAAGAACCACCAAGGCAACAUGACUGCAGGAAAUAUUGGGGUGGACCGGUAGUGCUAAAGGAAGGUGAUAUGACUGUUGGCAUGCUAAAAGAUCUUGAAGACAAAAACAUUAGCGUGGAAACCAUUGUAAUGGAUGAUGACACAACGACCAUAGCAAGGGCGAGGAAGGCUGGUCUAAAGAAGAAAAAAGAUGCCAUAAAAAGAACCAUUUUACCAACAAAUUAUAUAGUGUACAAAUAGCCAAAAAGUACAAACAGCUAGGAACCAAAAUUUUACAUUGUAAAAAAGUGUUUUAAUAAUGAUAUUACAAUGAACAAGAAAAAUCGGGUAAAUUUGAAAUUAAAAUUGAAAGUACUAACACCUUAUCUUUUUGGAAUACACAGCCAUUGCAGCCAAUUAUGGCUUUGUUCGGAAUUGUGGUAAUUUUAUUCCCAAGAACGUUAACAUACUGUACAGGUAAUACCUUAGUGAGAGUAAGCUGAAAGAUGACAUUCAAGAAGCUAUUUCAACAUGUGCAGACCAAGCAGAAUAGUUCGCUAAUUUAAGGAGUUCGCAGUCUAAUGAGAGCUUCAACAACACAGUUGCGUCAAAGGUCCCAAAGCAAAUGCAUUUUCUAUAUAUAUCUGUAAGCAUGUCAUUUAGAGUUGCCGCUGCUGCCGUCCAGAAAAGCUUAGGAAGUGUUAUGUGUUGAAGGUAAAUGAAGAACUGCUCUUGUCACCAGGAGAGCAAACAAAGAAAGUAUUAGUUCAACAUGAUUUGAAAAGGACAAGGGACUGUGAACGGAAGUCAUCAACUUCAUUCAAGAAAAAAAGGUCAUCGUUAAAAUCUAAGAAACAAUCAGCGUUAGAGUGCAUAGAAAUGAGAGAGGGUACCAUAUAUGAGUCUAUGUGAACUUGAGAGACUCUUCUAUUGCAGAUUAUAUUCAUGAGAUACCUCUUCCAUCUUCCUCGCCCACCAUAUCAACUCUUGCAGAUGGAAAUUAUACGUUCAUCUGCUUUGAUCUCGAGACUACAGGUCUUGGUAUGUGUUUUGAUAAAUGUAGACAAAUACAAGGACAUACAUUUUAAAUAUUACAAUAUGUUAUACAUUUUGUGCAUAUAAAUCUAUAAAUGUCAACACAGUAAUUUUGGAAUUUUCUUUUAUUUAUAAAUACAAUUCCAUUGUUUUAGGAUGUCAUCUAUUACGUCAGUAGUUGCAAACUCUGGGGAAAGACAUUUAAGCAUUAUGUGCUUCCAGAUGAAGAGAUAAGCCAUUCUGCUUCAGCAACAACUUUCAUAUCUUUUAAUGGUAUUGUACUGUACAAGGAUGGAGAGAAACUUGAUGCUGUACCAUUACCCGAGGCUCUUGUCAGAUUUUCCAAUCGGAUAAAAGAGUUCAAAAGCCCAGUCCUGGUAUCCCACAAUGCCAAGUCCGUUACCUCUGUUGUUUUUAUGAACAAUGUAUCAAAAAGCCUGUUUGAAUUUUGAUCACAUUAUAUGAUUUGUAGACAGUUUAUCCCUAUUUAAAGAUGAACCGGGGAAUUACCAUGCAAGAAAAGAUAUUCCCAAUCAUCACUGGUGCAUGAUGCAGGUUUGGCAUAUAAUGCUCAUAAUGCUUUACAUGAUUUUUUGCCUUAGACGGCCUUUUGAAGUUCCAUUGUGUUUCAGGGUCCACGAUGUUGAAAUACAGUUUUCCAUUGUCUUAUGUUUACAAUAUAGAAAAUCCAAAAUUGUAAAUGUCAACUCUCUUUCACAUCUAGAUUCAUCAAAAACAUUGUCUGAAUUCAUAGCUGAAAAAGUUGCUGCUUCUGGUCUUUGUUAUCAACAUCUGAAAACGUCAUUUGGAAGAAAUGCAUGCACGGAUUUAGAGGCAAUCUAGAGGCCAAUGUAAGAUCCCUCCCCCUUGGUAAAUGAAAAUUUACUAAAUUUACAUAGUAAAAUUAUCAAAAAUACGCUGCGGACCCCCUCUGGCAAACACAAUUAUCAUUUGGACACCCCCCCCCCCCCUCCCCUUGGAAAAAAAUUCUUGAUCCGCGCAUGAAAUGGAAAUAGAUACGAUGGUAUUGAAGCAUUAUUUAAAGUGUUAAAUUGAUGGUAAACCAAGGCACGAUGAAAAGAAAUUAUUUCGGCGCUUUUGGGGCAUUUUUCUAACU